UACGGAGGGUGCGAGCGUUGUCCGGAAUCACUGGGCGUAAAGGGCGCGUAGGUGGCGUCGUAAGUCUGUGGUGAAAGCCCGGGAGCUCAACUCCGGGUCUGCCGCGGAUACUGCGAGGCUUGAGUGCUGUAGAGGGGGGUAGAAUUCCAGGUGUAGCGGGUGAAAUGCGUAGAGAUCUGGAGGAAUACCGGUGGCGAAGGCGGCCCCCCUGGACAAAGAACUGACGCUCAGGUGCGGAAAGCGUGGGGGAGCAAACAGG
rnacentral:rRNA from 1 species